GGAAAUUUUCUUAUUAAAAAAAGAUGUGUCCAAUGGGAAAAGUGGUAGUUCCAUCUCCUUACUGGAACAAUAGAUGGCAAAUGUACAUUCAGUUUCAUUUACAGCAGACCCUGAGCACCAACUCUAUUUUCAGCCCUGAACUGGCCACUGGGCAUAUGGAGGUGAAUGGGACACUGCCAAAUAGCCAGCAUUGUUGAUGCUCUUGAGAGCGCUAGCCAGGACGUUCAUGCGCACCUUUGUGGCAGUGGGGAAAGAUGGUGGAAGGAGCAAGAACUUUUGAAUGGGGUUCUGUAUUUCCUUUCUUCCUUUCUAAUCUGGUGAGUGGUCUCUGAACUUUGAAUUAUGUGUACCAACCAGUAACAAAUUUGAAUACACACUCCCAAUAUUUACAUAUAUAUGUAAUAUAUUUCACUUAUUAGGCAGAUAAAUAUACUACUAAAAUAUAUUGUUUGCCUUUAGGAUAGAUAUACGAAAAUAAUUUUUAAAAGAAUGAGAUUGAGAAAAUGUAAGUAGAUGUUAUGAGAUUUUUCUUUCCAUACCACAAUGAAUUAUCUUGUCCCUGGGUUGCAAGACCAUUGUUCUCAUUGGUUCUCUAUGCUGAACCAGAACAGUCUUCACACUACUGAUAUGACCAUAUUGGUUUCCUGCUCAAGCUUUCCAAGAUCCCCAGGUAGAAUACAGUCCUAAUACCUUC
rnacentral:lncRNA from 1 species